AUGUUGAUGAAGCUUUGGGCGGAGUUUAUGGAGAGUGCUAUGGCUGGAUCCACCUCGCUUUCCACGCCGGAAGGUGAGGUUAACAGUUUGAUGCAACAGGUUGUUGAUGAUUAUGGACUUGAGGUGUCGGUUGGGCUUCCUCAGCCUGCUGCUCAUGCUGUUCCGCUUAAGGAGAAGGAUGCUGAGAAGGUUGAUGAGGAUGAUUUGUCGAGGCGGCUUGCGGAGCUUAAAGCUAGAGGUUAA
rnacentral:lncRNA from 1 species